CUCGGAAGGCGCGAACAGCCUGGCUUAGCCCGA
rnacentral:misc_RNA from 1 species